rnacentral:rRNA from 1 species
AUAACAGUUAGAAAUGACUGCUAAUACCGCAUAAGACCACAGCACCGCAUGGUGCAGGGGUAAAAACUCCGGUGGUAUGAGAUGGACCCGCGUCUGAUUAGGUAGUUGGUGGGGUAACGGCCUACCAAGCCGACGAUCAGUAGCCGACCUGAGAGGGUGACCGGCCACAUUGGGACUGAGACACGGCCCAAACUCCUACGGGAGGCAGCAGUGGGGAAUAUUGCACAAUGGGGGAAACCCUGAUGCAGCGACGCCGCGUGAGCGAUGAAGUAUUUCGGUAUGUAAAGCUCUAUCAGCAGGGAAGAAAAUGACGGUACCUGACUAAGAAGCACCGGCUAAAUACGUGCCAGCAGCCGCGGUAAUACGUAUGGUGCAAGCGUUAUCCGGAUUUACUGGGUGUAAAGGGAGCGUAGACGGAGUGGCAAGUCUGAUGUGAAAACCCGGGGCUCAACCCCGGGACUGCAUUGGAAACUGUCAAUCUGGAGUACCGGAGAGGUAAGCGGAAUUCCUAGUGUAGCGGUGAAAUGCGUAGAUAUUAGGAGGAACACCAGUGGCGAAGGCGGCUUACUGGACGGUAACUGACGUUGAGGCUCGAAAGCGUGGGGAGCAAACAGGAUUAGAUACCCUGGUAGUCCACGCCGUAAACAAUGACUACUAGGUGUCGGGCAGCAAAGCUGUUCGGUGCCG